AACUUAACAUCACGCAUUCCAGUGUCUCCUCCUCCCCACUCACACGCAUAUCACUUAUUUCCAUUAACAGCCAUGUCUCGCGAAGCCUACAAAGUUCCCACAGGCCAAACUGGGUAUACUGGCGCAACCGGUAUCGUCGAAGGAACCACCAGCGAUGCGGUUUCCGUAACAUAUGUUUGUGGUGAUUGCAACUCCCGCGUCUCCAUGAAGCGUGGGGAUCAGAUCCGCUGCAAGGAAUGUGGGCAUCGUGUGCUGUAUAAGGAGAGGACUAAGAGAAUGGUGCAGUUUCAAGCCCGAUGAUACCUACCCACAUUCCCUUACCGGCGUUUCCACAGUACCAUAGGCGAUCAUGAGAAUCAGAUCAUUGCAGGAGAGGGUGUGCUUUUAACAUUUUUUUUACGCUGUUGUUUGCUUGCAACAGCUUCGGCAUGGCGCUAAGGAGUGGAUGUUUGAUUUUGAUUUUUAUGACCAAAAGAAAAAGCUUUGUCGCCAGAUGGGAGGCGGGAAUUCUCGGAUAGUAAUCAUGAUAAAAAUUUCUUGCAUCGUUUAUUGUCGCAUCGCCAGUUGAAAUCAUACCCGAGCGCAGCGUUGUUGUCAUCCUUCAAGGGACUCGUCCGUUAAGUUUCCCUGAAAGAGAAAAAAAAAGGAUAUAAAUAUCAAUAAAUACAACGUGGUCCAUUCGAGACCCGAAAAGAUAUGACCAAAAAAAAUUUUUUUUUUUUUUCCAAUUUCCUCCUUAUUCCAGUUACAACGAGUUUGAUACUUCUAUGAAUUUUUCCAAGCUGCUCAGUGCCCUCCCACUUUCGAUCGCCCACCGCGCUCGCCGAAUACCCUCCUUCCAGCGUCCACCGCCUGGACCAACCUCUUUUAUAACUUCCCCAUUGUCACCAGGACCCAUAUUGCUUGUAUCAGCGUCGCAGAUGCCAGAUAUAACCAAGAGAGCCGCAACGUUCAUGAGCACGAACUCCAAGAUGGGAUGGUCGCGAGGCAUCUCGUUGCGGAGCAUACUCAUGAGUAUCACCGCGUUUUCGCUCGGCAUCUUGCCUCCACCAACUUCUGAAAGUGGGCGCGUAGAGAACCCAAAAUCCGAAGGCUGAAGCUGGAAGUGUUCGAUUUUUACCAACGUCUUGGACGGCGCGUCCUCAUCCAAAGUCUCGUCAUCUUCGGGAUUGCUAUCCGAACCGCCUUGAUAUUCAGGAUUGAGAUAUUCAGAGAGUUUCCAACAGUUUGUUUUUCCAGCACAGCUAAUUUCAUCCAAAUCUUCUUCGCCGCAUACUACCAGCGCCUUUUUAACCCCGCUGAGCUUCAGAACGUUUGCGAAUAUUGGGCCCAGGGAUUUGUAUGCUACGCCAACCAAUCGAGCUUCAAUACCCCAAUCAAUUGGGUUUGCCAGUGGUCCAAGGAGAUUAAAGAUCGUCCGCAAACCCAACCCUUUUCGAACGGGAGUUGCAAAUUUCAUGCCAGUGUGGAAAUUUGGAGCGAAGAAAAAGCAGUAAUUUGACUUCUCGUACACCUUGAAGACAUUCUCUGGUCGAACGGCAGAUAAGUUCGGUGGGGUCGGAGUGAUCGAUGUCAAGACGUCCGCAGAACCCGAGAAUGACGUUUGCGCCCGAUUUCCAUGCUUGGCAAUCAUUAGCAAUGGCGACGCUAUAAUGGAAGAGGUCGUAGAGAUGUUGAAUGUGCGGUGGGAAUCUCCUCCUGUCCCAACAAUGUCACACUGCCACCGAACGUGCUGUUAGCUUGCUGCUUCACUUAUUCCCGAGAAUAAAAAAAUUUUCAUUGAUUCCUUCACUCACAAAGCCACCAUUAUAAGAUCCUUCUUUUCUAUCUCGCUCCUUAGCCAGCGCCAGCAGUGGUGUUCGUUCAAUUGGCUCAGCAGCCUCUCUCAUUCGAGCUGCGCAUUGGGCUAACACAUCGGCAUCCCUAUCCUUGCCAGUUGAAUGUAGGAGGGUGAGAAAUGCAGCAGUCUGAAUGAGAGAUAAUUUAUUCUCGAAUAUGAGAGAAAAAGCGCCAGCGAUUUCCCCCGCUGUAACCUCAUAUGAAGCUGCAUCCGGAUAUGCGAGCCUUGUAAGAAGCGGCGAGAUGGAAAUCGAAAAGUCUUGCUUGGCCGACGCCAUAGCCGCGUUACUGUCGAGUUCCCCCUUAUAAGCAGAAUAUUGUCGGCCAGGAUCCAGGCGACAAACUCACAUCUAGGUAGAUAAAGUAAAAAGAAAUAACAGA
rnacentral:sRNA from 1 species